UGGAUCAAUGAUGACUACUGGUGGCGUAUGAGUCCUAUACGAUGAAUACGUGUCUGGAACUCUGAGGUCCGA
rnacentral:snoRNA from 1 species